CUUACACAAUAUAUUAACAUCUCAAUAAAACUGGGCAAAAAUAAAGUGCUUCAGUUGCAUACUGAACUACGAUGGCUGUCUUGGAGAAAAACGUGUAUAUUUGACCUAUAUGCUGAAACAGCCCCUUUUUUUCAUGGAACAUCAUAUUUAGUUGGAACUGUCAGGCAAACUAGGGCUAUUCUGAUUUAUUUGGCAGAUAUUUUCUUGAAACUCAAUGAAGUGAGCCGAUCAUUUUAAAGAAGCAACUGACAUUAUUUGUUGCCAGCGAAAAAAUUUGAGCUUUCGCACAAAAAUUCAAAAUUUGGAAAACUUGUAUUCACCACCAUGAACUAGAGAGUUUCCUAAUACCUAAAGACUUUUCUAAUGAGAAUAAUGAUCAUAUUGAUGAAUGUGAUUUUUUGACAUUGUAUAAUGAAUGGGUUAGCAUUUGGAAGAUCUGAAUACCUCAGUUGAUCAGUGAUUUUCAAGUGACUAAUCAUGUGUGGUUAACAAAAAGUUCCACUCAAAGUGCAAGAUAGACCAAAGGCUUUUAAUGUAACAGACUACAAAAAGUUCAUGGAUAUGGUUUCUGAUUUCACAUUUUGGUGUAGAAUCAAUGAAUAACUAUAAUUAUCUGCAAAAACUGUUAAAGCACUCCUUACUUUUCUAACAACUUAUCUCUGUGAGGCUACUUUUUUUUUCAUGUAUUUUAACCGAACAGCAUAUCACAAAAAACUGAAUACAGAAGCAGAUAUAAGAAAUGAAAGGUCUUCUAACAAGCUAGAAGUUUGAGAGAAAUGAAAACGUUCAAUAAUGCUGCUCCUCUCACUGAAGCGGAAGCUGGAAAGCGGAUAAUAGAUGAGGAACCACAGUUUCCAGGUCUUUGUGCAACAGGAUAUGGCCAUUUAACUAAUUCUCACCAAUGUAAUUAGCAGAAGUGAUGUGUACUAUUUUGGGACCAAGGCUUUUGUGAAACAGGUAAUUUUCACAACCACUCUAUAACAUUGGUAUUAUCAUCACCAUUUAACAAGUGAAGACACUGAUAUGUUGAGAGG